AUGUUAAAGGAGCCCCGCCCCCAUGAGAGCAACAAGGUCUUCCAGAGAGAGGUUUUCCGAGGUCGCCUGGUUGUUUCUGUCGACUCCAGCCUUUCGUUUGCUUCCCCAAGCGCUCCUUCUCUUUUCCCCCUCAUUCCAUCUGGGAGCUUCCCAGAGAGCGGGGAUAUCACCAUUGGGUGCCUGGCCAAGGAUUUCCUGCCCGACUCCGUCACUUUCUCCUGGAAUAAUAAGAACAACGCCAGCCUUAACACCAGCAAGUUCAAGAGGUUCCCUUCCCUUUUGUCCGACGGCACCUACACUGCAAGCUCCCAAGCAAAAGUUUCCGUAGACGACUGGAAAGCCUACUCUCCCUUCUUCUGCCAAGCAAGGCAAUCGGACGUCAACAAAGUGGUUCGCGUUGUUCGCAGAGCUUGUCCUCGAUGCCCUGAUCCUGAAAUGAACAUCCAAGCUCCCCCACGUAAAGCAUUUCAGGCCCCCUACUUCAACUCCACCAUCACCUGUACUGCUACUAACCUUUGCACGGAGAAAACCACCAUCCAGUGGUCCAAGGACGGACAGCUGCUGGACUCUGGCUUCACCACCACCAAGCUAUCCUUAAACAACGGCAAUGGCUACGGCAUCAGAAGUGAACUCAUCGUCACUCUCAGGGACUGGAAUGCCAACAAGAAAUACUCCUGCACGGUGCAAAAUGACAAGUUCAACAAUACCCUGGAGAUCCACAAGACUGCCUUUUGUGAAGAAUGCUGUGGAGGACACCUAGAAGUCCAAGUGGAAACCAUCCCACCAUCCUAUGCUGAUAUUUAUGUGAACCAGGAAGUUAAGUUGACCUGCAGAAUCUCCGACAUACCAUAUGACCAGGAUCUUGGACAACUGGCUGUGACUUGGACACGGAGGUCCAACGGCAUCAACCGGGAACAAUUUGAAACAGAACUUGGAACACCUCAAGAUCAGGGAAAUGGCAGGCAAUCCAUAGAUGCUUCCACCACCGUGUGCAUAGCUGACUGGAACAGUGGUGACACGUUCAGCUGUAAAGUUGAGUUUCCAGAUGUACUUCCCGAGCCUGUAGAAAAGUCACUGAAAAAGCCUCUUGAUAUUCCCAUUCAUGCCCCGGCAGUCUAUGUCCUUCCUCCUCCAUCCGAACAACUGACAUUGAGGGAAACAGCCACCGUCACCUGCCUGAUUAAAAAUUUCUCUCCCAGUGGCAUCUUUGUGCAAUGGCUGCAUAACAAUAAGCCGGUGAGCCCUGGAACCUACUUCACCAGCACCCCUACACUAGAAUCCAGGAACCAGGACAAGUAUUUUGCCUACAGUAUGCUGAACAUCGAUGAACAGCAAUGGAGCGCUGGAGAUACUUAUACUUGCCUGGUGGGACAUGAGGGCUUGCCAUUCAACGCAACGCAGAAGACCAUAGACAAGAACAUGGGUAAACCAACCAUUGUCAAUGUCUCCCUAGUGCUUUCCGACACCGCCAACACGUGUUAAUAACCAUCUCUCUCAAGUGCCUUCUCCAGCUCUUCUUUCCACUGGCCUCUGUUCCCCGUGUUUGUCGUCUUGUGCUUUACUGUUGAUUCCUCUGCGGCAAGUUGGCAGAUGAUGGCGACGAUCUAAGAAAGUUGUGUCUGAACUGUGAAAGCCACAUCUUCCUGGAAAAGAGCACAUUGUUUGCAAUAAAACUUGUUUUCCUCAAAACAAAAACCGAAA